UACGUAGGCAGCGGGCGUUGUUCGGAGUUACUGGGCGUAAAGGGUGUGUAGGCGGUUGUUUAAGUUUGGUGUGAAAUCUCCCGGCUCAACUGGGAGGGUGCGCCGAAUACUGAAUGACUUGGAGUGCGGGAGAGGAAAGUGGAAUUCCUGGUGUAGCGGUGAAAUGCGUAGAUAUCAGGAGGAACACCGGUGGUGUAGACGGCUUUCUGGACCGUAACUGACGCUGAGACACGAAAGCGUGGGGAGCAAACAGG
rnacentral:rRNA from 1 species